rnacentral:rRNA from 1 species
GAGUUUGAUCCUGGCUCAGAUUGAACGCUGGCGGCAUGCCUUACACAUGCAAGUCGAACGGCAGCAUGAUCUAGCUUGCUAGAUUGAUGGCGAGUGGCGAACGGGUGAGUAAUACAUCGGAACGUGCCCUGUAGUGGGGGAUAACUAGUCGAAAGAUUAGCUAAUACCGCAUACGACCUGAGGGUGAAAGUGGGGGACCGCAAGGCCUCAUGCUAUAGGAGCGGCCGAUGUCUGAUUAGCUAGUUGGUGGGUAAAGGCCCACCAAGGCGACGAUCAGUAGCUGGUCUGAGAGGACGAUCAGCCACACUGGGACUGAGACACGGCCCAGACUCCUACGGGAGGCAGCAGUGGGGAAUUUUGGACAAUGGGCGAAAGCCUGAUCCAGCAAUGCGCGUGUGUGAAGAAGGCCUCGGUUGUAAG